AAUCAACAAGAUUUGUUGAAAGUUUGCACAAUGACUAAUAUGUGAUCAUCUUACAUACGAAUAUUAAGUAUUACAAUAUUGUAUUUCUUACCUUAGACACAAAAAAUGUGUUAACUGAACAUGCAUCCAAUGUGACAAAAUUGAACUUAGUCCAAUGUUUUCUAAAACAAACCUAAUGCGCUACUAUGUGAAUUGAGUCCAAAGCUUUUAUGAAAAAUUAGCAUCCAAUGUUAGGC
rnacentral:lncRNA from 1 species